UCUGCGCGCGCAGAAUCAGCGUCAGAUCUGGCGAGAGAGGGAAACCGAACCGGAUCGGGAAGCGAGGGGCGUCCUUACCCUUGCGGUCGGGCUUGUGGCAGCGCUUGACGAGGCGGACGCUGUCCUUGGCGAACUCGCGGAGGGGGUCGACGACGGAGUCGACGGCGUCCAUGGCGGGCGAGGCGCGGCGAGAUCUCGGAGCCGACGACGACGAGGUCGCGCGCGUGAGGGGGAGGAAGCCGACGGGAGGAUGCUGUUUGG
rnacentral:lncRNA from 1 species